UCUGGGUAAAUGCUGCAUAAUUUUUUAUGUAGAGGAAAGUCCAUGCUCGCACAGUCUGAAAUGAUUGUAGUGUUUGUGCUAAGGGAAAAAAUAACCUUAGGUAGUCUAUUUAAGACUAACGGCUCUGAAAAUUUCCUUUUAAAAUAGGAAAUAAGUAAGUAUAAAAGUGCCAAAGUGACGAAGAACUUGGAAACGAGGGAAGUGGAACGUGGUAAACCCCGCAAGCGAGAAACCCAAAUUAUGGUAGGGGAGCUUUUACUGAGGAAUAAAAACUUAAGUAAAGGACUUAUAUUUAAUAUAAGUAGAUAAAUAUUUACCGCUUGAGAAAUCAAGUACAGAACAUGGCUUAUAA
rnacentral:RNase_P_RNA from 1 species